AGAAUGUGGAAGAAAACCUUACUCUGGAAAAAAUAAGCAACUUGCGCAACCCUGGAGGAAUGAGGCAGUUUCUCCACUUGCUAUGGUGCUGCUGUGCCACUACUGUUAAUAAUGUCAUCAAGCCUUACCUGCGUGAAUGACUGCAAAGGAUGCCAAUGGCAACCUCAAGGACAGAGUGAGACCUUGCGGUCACCGGGACACCGAUGAUGCUUCUCUGUGUGAUGGAUGUGUUCACAGAAUUAGGCCCCAUGACACGGAAGUGGAUGCUGCUCCAAUUUUCUUUCAAGAAACACUACCGGAAUCAUCCUUAAGAUGAAAUUUCAUUUUAAAACUGCAUUCUUUCUCUAGCAAUGGGAACAUUAAGCCAUUCCAAUUGGUUUGUCAGCAGCUGGAAGAGGUUAGAAUAGUGAAACUGGAGUCCACCUACCUGCUGGAAAAGUACAGCUGAAAGAGGCAAUUUCUAGACAACAAAGGGUAAGGAGGUGAGGUGAAGAUACUGUUAUUCUAGUGGCCAGAAGGGUGCUAUCAUCAAGUUAGUAAGAAUAAUGUUUUCCUUAGCUCUCAUGGGACUUCUUUGUCCAUGUGGAUCCAUUUCAAACAUUUUUCCCCUUUAAGCACUCCUUGAUAAUAAAAAAAAAACUGAUAUAAGCGCUCUUUCAUGGGAAGAAUCUCACUUUGGUCUGUGUAUUUUGUCUUCAGAAAACCAUAGGGCUCAGAGUGGGUACAAAAAGAGCUUAGUACUCAAAAAAUACAGCCCACAGCUGAGAGAAACUGCAAGAGCAGG
ensembl:lncRNA